GAUGGAGGGAUGGAUGGAGGAUGGGUAGAAGGAUGGAUGGAUAAAGUGAUGGAUAGCUGGAUGGAUAGAGGAAUGGAGGGAUGGCUGGAUGGAUAGAGGGAUGGAGGGAUGGCUGGAUGGAUAGAGAUAUAAAUGAAUGGGUGGCUAGAUGGAUGGAUAGAUAGAGGGAUGGAUGAAUAUGUAAGAAUCCAGGCCCUAUAACUUUAU